ACCGGCCCAGACCCUGCCACUGCCCUCCUUUUUGCUCGCGAGAUGCUCCCCAUCUCGCCCCGACGCCCUCACCCUCUCCUUCACCAUCCGCAUGCGCCGCUGCCCGCCUUUCUGCCCUCCACCUCUCCCGCCAACUCCACUCCCUUCUCCUCUGCCUCAGACUCGCCAUCGAUGUCUGCCUCCCCAACACCAUCCUCGAUGCCUAUGCCAAGGCCCCCGACCUCUCCUC
rnacentral:lncRNA from 1 species